UACGGAAGGCAGCAGUGGGGAAUAUUGCACAAUGGGCGCAAGCCUGAUGCAGCCAUGCCGCGUGUAUGAAGAAGGCCUUCGGGUUGUAAAGUACUUUCAGUCGUGAGGAAGGUGUUAAGGUUAAUAACCUUAGCAAUUGACGUUAGCGACAGAAGAAGCACCGGCUAACUCCGUGCCAGCAGCCGCGGUAAUACGGAGGGUGCGAGCGUUAAUCGGAAUUACUGGGCGUAAAGGGCACGCAGGCGGUUAAUUAAGUUGGAUGUGAAAUCCCCGGGCUUAACCUGGGAAUGGCAUUCAAGACUGGUUAGCUAGAGUCUUGUAGAGGGGGUAGAAUUCCAUGUGUAGCGGUGAAAUGCGUAGAGAUGGUGGAGGAAUACCGGUGGCGAAGGCGGCCCCUGGACAAAGGACUGACGCUCAUGUGCGAAAGCGUGGGGAGCGAAACAGGGAUUAGAUACC
rnacentral:rRNA from 1 species